rnacentral:rRNA from 1 species
UACGGAGGGUGCAAGCGUUAUCCGGAUUCACUGGGUUUAAAGGGUGCGUAGGUGGGUUGGUAAGUCAGUGGUGAAAUCCCCGAGCUUAACUUGGGAACUGCCAUUGAUACUAUCAGUCUUGAAUACCGUGGAGGCUAGCGGAAUAUGUCAUGUAGCGGUGAAAUGCUUAGAUAUGACAUAGAACACCAAUUGCGAAGGCAGCUGGCUACACGAAUAUUGACGCUGAGGCACGAAAGCGUGGGGAGCAAACAGG